rnacentral:rRNA from 1 species
CCUACGGGAGGCAGCAGUGGGGAAUAUUGCACAAUGGGCGCAAGCCUGAUGCAGCGACGCCGCGUGCGGGCUGGAGGCCUUCGGGUUGUAAACCGCUUUUGUUCAAGGGCAAGGCACGGUCUUUGGCCGUGUUGAGUGGAUUGUUCGAAUAAGCACCGACUCACUCCGUGCCAGCAGCCGCGGUAAUACGUAGGGUGCAAGCGUGAUCCGGCUUUAUUGGGCGUAAAGGGCUCGUAGGCGGAUCGUCGCGUCCGGUGUGAAAGUCCAUCGCUUAACGGUGGAUCCGCGCCGGGUACGGUCGGUCUUGAGUGCGGUAGGGGAGACUGGAAUGCCCGGUGUAGCGGUGGAAUGUUUAGAGAUCGGGAAGAACACCGAUGGCGAAGGCAGGUCUCUGGGCCGUUACUGACGCUGAGGAGCGAAAGCGUGGGGAGCGAACAGGAUUAGAUACCCGUGUAGUC